rnacentral:misc_RNA from 1 species
UAAUAAGGUGUUUUAUGGCACUUUUUUAAAUCCAUAUCCACCUUGUGUGCAAUGCCAGUCGAUCUUCUUCAUGGAGAUCGACCAAGACAUCAACCUUUAUCUUUUUAACUCUUUGUCUGAAAAAUAUUAUGAAUAAAACAAUUUCAAAAAUA